rnacentral:rRNA from 1 species
GAUGAACGCUGGCGGCGCGCCUAACACAUGCAAGUCGAACGGCACCCCUCCUCGGAGGGCAGCGAGUGGCGAACGGCUGAGUAACACGUGGAGAACCUGCCCCCUCCCCCGGGAUAGCCGCCCGAAAGGACGGGUAAUACCGGAUACCCCGGGGUGCCGCAUGGCACCCCGGCUAAAGCCCCGACGGGAGGGGAUGGCUCCGCGGCCCAUCAGGUAGACGGCGGGGUGACGGCCCACCGUGCCGACAACGGGUAGCCGGGUUGAGAGACCGACCGGCCAGAUGGGGACUGAGACACGGCCCAGACUCCUACGGGAGGCAGCAGUGGGGAAUCUUGCGCAAUGGGGGGAACCCUGACGAAGCGACGCCGCGUGCGGGACGGAGGCCUUCGGGUCGUAAACCGCUUUCAGCAGGGAAGAGUCAAGACUGUACCUGCAGAAGAAGCCCCGGCUAACUACGUG